AAAGGUUAGCCAUCACUGGCCUAGAGGAUCACCAGUUCGGAUGAAAUCCUGUCCCACCUGCUGUCAGGCUGUAUUCUCCUCCUCCUCGAAUGACCAUAAAGCCCCUGUGCAUCUUAAGCAUCUCUUUAUUCAGUGCUAAUAAGAAUAAAAUCAAUUUACCAUUCCUUUUUCCUGUUGCUUAUCACAAACAGUGGCUUAGUAGAAGUCUCUUUUUAGACAGUUUGUGAAUAGAGCUGGUUAUUUACCAUAUCCAAAGGGAUUCCAUGCUAUACAAGUCUCUUUACUAAAUAGUGUCAUAAAUAACUAAGCAAUGAGCUGCCUCCGACAUCGCAUCCACAGGUAAUCCCUUUUCUGUUUUCAUGUUUGCACUUUCUGAGCUUCUCACAAAUCUGAUUUCUCCGGUGGAUAUUAAGGUGGCCAUGCAGAGGUUGCAAGAGAAAUGGUUCUUCCUGCUAAUUAAAUCAUUUCAACCUGAGGGCUAACCAUAUUAGACAGAAACAAUAUGAAUUUUCUUGAGAAUGCAAUCUACAGUCUCGCUACUAAUGUCCGGAUUUAUCCUUCAUAAUCAUCUUGACAGCUGAGACAAAGUUGUGGAAGAUUGAAGAGCUGACGUCUGGCACUUCUGGAAGGUUUCAAAUUGGGGAAGGUUGAGUUUGAACCACCUGUGAAGCAAGGUUACCAUCUUUAUUGAGCUGCAAAAUGCCUGCAUGUUGAAACUGACAGUCACCAGAGCUGGAAAAUACAGUAGCAUAACAUUGCCAUCAUUCUUCAAGAUGUAUGGAUUCUUUCAUGAGACUGUUUGAUAUGAAUAUUGAGGAAAAAAAGGCAGCUAUUGUGUAACCACCAGUCUCAAAUACAUGAAUGAAUACA